rnacentral:rRNA from 1 species
UGAGGAAUAUUGGGCAAUGCCCGCAAGGGUGACCCAGCAACGCCGCGUGGAGGAUGAAUGUCGUAAGAUUGUAAACUCCUGUUAGAGGGGAAGAAUAGUACCGGUUGGACCGGUAUAUGACUGUACCCUCAGAGAAAGCCCCGGCUAACUACGUGCCAGCAGCCGCGGUAAUACGUAGGGGGCAAGCGUUGUCCGGAUUUACUGGGUGUAAAGGGCGCGCAGGCGGGAUAAAAAGUCAGUGGUGAAAUCCUACAGCUUAACUGUAGAACUGCCUUUGAUACUUUUAUUCUUGAGUUCGGGAGAGAGUGACGGAAUUCCGCGUGUAGUGGUGAAAUACGUAGAUAUCUGGAAGAACACCAGUUGCGAAGGCGGUCUCUUGGUCCGACACUGACGCUGAGGCGCGAAAGCGUGGGGAGCAAACA